UAAUUUUCUUUACUGAAGAACAAUAAUGAAGUUCUCUCGGUUCUUCUCUCUCUCUCUCUUUUUCAUCUGCAAAUAUUUUGUUCAUGCAUGGAAAUCAAUAAUCUUUACAUGGUAUCAGAGCGGGGUUUAUGAUUCCGCUUGUCACGGACUUCGUUGCGAUGUUACCCUCACCGAUUUCCGUCAGAGCUUCUGUCUUCUCCAACGAAUCUAGGUUUUUUCUCUUUUUCUCUGAAUAUCCUUCGGUGAUUGUUGAUUUUUUUGAGUUUUCUGAGUCUAAUACUUUUUCUCGUCAUCUCAAACAUAGGAGUCAGUCCUAGGAGCACUUAGGGUUUCUUAGUCUUACAAAUUUCAAGCCCAAAAUCCCUUCUCAGUCAGAAUGGUUAAUGUUGGUGAUACAUCUGAGUCUAGGACUGAUAAUUUUGUACUUGACCCCUCAAGCCCUUUAUUUCUCUUGUCUUCUGAUGUUCCGGGAAUUUCUUUGGUAGGCAACCACUUUUCAGGGUUGGAUUUGGGGGUUGGAGACGUAAUAUAAUCGUUUCGUUAUCCGCUAGGAAUAAAAUAGCUUGGUAAGCAACCACUUUUCAGGGUUGGAUUUGGGGGUUGGAGACGUAAUAUAAUCGUUUCGUUAUCCGCUAGGAAUAAAAUAGGGUCCAUUGACGGAACAAUUCCCAAACCUCCAGAAACCUCUCCUCAGUUUAGGCAAUGGGACAGAUGCAACAAUAUGGUUAUCUCUUGGCUUACUAAUUCCCUUGCGCCAGAGAUAGCCGAGAGUGUUCAAUAUUCCGACACUGCUCAAAGCAUCUGAAAUCAACUUAAUAGUAGAUAUAGGACUGUGAAUGACACUAGGAUAUUUGAGAUUAAGCAGGAGUUGGCAUCAAUCAAUCAGGGGUCUCUGGAUAUAGCUUCUUAUUUCAACAAGCUAAAGAAACUAUGGGAUGAACUAGGCUUCAUGCGUGCUUCUCGUGGGAACACUUGCACAUGCAAUGCCAGAUCCGAGCUUCAAAGGGAGGAUGAUGAAAAUAAAUUACAUCAGUUUCUUAUGGGGCUCAAUGAUGUCUAUGUAGGAGUCAGAAGCAAUAUUCUUAUGCUACAACCUCUACCAACUCUGGAUUGUGCAUACAAUAUUUUACUCCAAGAUGAGAGACAAAGACAAGUGUCUAUGUGGGAGUCAGAAGCAAUAUUCUUAUGUUACAACCUCCACCAAUUCUGGAUUGUGCAUACAAUAUUCUACUCCAAGAUGAGAUACAAAGACAAGUCUCUUCACCUUCUCAAUUUCAUCAUGAUUCGAGUGCCUUCAAUACUCAUUUCCGCAACAAACCCUCUAUCACAAGAUUUCCUCCCGCAGCAGCUGGUUACCCUAAACAAUUCAGCCCAAGACUCAAUUCUGAUCCCAACAGAGCAAACUUAGUGUGUAGGUAUUGUAAGAAACCUGGACACCUGAUUGAAAAGUGCUAUAAACUUCAUGGAUUUCCACCAGACUUCAAAUUCACAAGAGGAUUUCCAUCAGACUUGAAAUUCACAAAAGGAAGNNN
rnacentral:lncRNA from 1 species